rnacentral:rRNA from 1 species
AACGAACGCUGGCGGCGUGCCUAAGACAUGCAAGUCGCGCGAGAAAAGGGGCUUCGGCCCCCAGUAGAGCGGCGCACGGGUGAGUAACGCGUGGGUAAGUCUGCCUCCCGGGUCCCGGGGAUAACCUCGGGAAACGUGGGGCGUAAUACCGGAUGAGACCACGAGGUCCUCGGGCCUCGCGGGAAAAGGUAGGCCUCUUCAUGAAAGCUUUCGCCUGGAGAUGAGCCCGCGUCCCAUUAGCUAGUUGGUGAGGAACGGCUCACCAAGGCUCCGAUGGGUAGCUGGUCUGAGAGGACGACCAGCCACACUGGAACUGAGACACGGUCCAGACUCCUACGGGAGGCAGCAGUC